CACUCGUUAAGCGGAAACACCAGCAACAUUUGUCUAACUUGGAAAAAGACUUCAAACAUUAGCUGUCAGAUGUUUUAAAGUAACUCUUCCUAUAACUUUAAUAUCUGCUCAUUUCUGGUCAGCUUGGUGAAGCUGAGACACUACAAGCUGUCUUCUUGCCAAUAAUGCGUGAAGCUGCUGCUGACUUCACCUGUUGAUUUAAUGGAUGAAAAUGGGUUCACCAUGGUCAGGUAUGAACUGCAGUUCUCCUCUAGCAGUGAGGGGAAUAAUUAAGAAAGACAGCUGCUCUUUUUUCUCAUCUGUGUCACCUGGCACUGCGCUGGAUAUUGCAAAUGGCAACACUGUUGGCAUAUGAUGCAUCCCACUUGAAAUAAAUCAUUGAGCUUAAUAUUCAUGCUUGUCAACCAUGUAACAAACGUUAUGUAUAUAUUUUUAU